rnacentral:rRNA from 1 species
UACGGGGGGAGCAAGCGUUGUUCGGAUUUACUGGGCGUAAAGGGCGCGUAGGCGGUCAGCACAAGUCAGUUGUGAAAUCUCCGGGCUUAACUCGGAAAGGUCAACUGAUACUGUGCGACUAGAGUGCAGAAGGGGCAACUGGAAUUCUCGGUGUAGCGGUGAAAUGCGCAGAUAUCGGGAGGAACACCGGUGGCGAAGGCGGCAUCCUGGACCGGCAUUGACGCUGAGGCGCGAAAGCUAGGGGAGCAAACGGG